CCUACGGGAUGCAGCAGUGAGGAAUAUUGGUCAAUGGGCGCGAGCCUGAACCAGCCAAGUCGCGUGAGGGAAGACGGUCCUAUGGAUUGUAAACCUCUUUUGUCGGGGAGCAAAAGACGCCACGCGUGGCGUUCCGAGAGUACCCGAAGAAAAAGCAUCGGCUAACUCCGUGCCAGCAGCCGCGGUAAUACGGGGGAUGCGAGCGUUAUGCAGAUUUAUUGGGUUUAAAGGGGGUGUAGGUGGCAUCUUAAGUUAUGUGUGAAAGCCCGCGGCUCAACCGCGGAAUUGCACAUAAAACUGGUAAGCUGGAGUGCAGGAGAGGUAAGUGGAAUUCCCGGUGUAGCGGUGGAAUGCGUAGAUAUCGGGAGGAACACCAGAGGCGAAGGCGACUUACUGGACUGUAACUGACGCUGAGGCUCGAAAGCGUGGGGAGCAAACAGGAUUAGAUACCCCUGUAGUC
rnacentral:rRNA from 1 species